rnacentral:rRNA from 1 species
ACUUGACAAGUUAAAACUUUCAACAACGGAUCUCUUGGCUCUCGCAUCGAUGAAGAACGCAGCGAAAUGCGAUAGGUAAUGUGAAUUGCAGAACUCAGUGAAUCAUCGAAUCUUUGAACGCAC